rnacentral:rRNA from 1 species
CAGUCGCCGCGGUAAUACGAAGGGGGCUAGCGUUGUUCGGAAUUACUGGGCGUAAAGCGCACGUAGGCGGACAUUUAAGUCAGGGGUGAAAGCCCGGAGCUCAACUCCGGAAUUGCCUUUAAGACUGCCGAGCUAGCAGGUGAGAGAGGUAAGUGGAAUUCCGAGUGUAGAGGUGAAAUUCGUAGAUAUUCGCAAGAACACCAGUGGCGAAGGCGGCUCACUGGCCCGAUACUGACGCUGAGGUGCGAAAGCGUGGGGAGCAAACAGGAUUAGAUACCCCUGUAGUCCCUGUCUCUUAUAC